CGAGUGUGGAGAUCGUCCACCGUCUUCUCCACCUCCGGUCACCGUCGCCGUUGCCGAAUCCACCCCCUCCGGUGAGUACCAACCCAAUUCCAUGCAUCAGUACCAUCUCUGGGGCCUCUCUAACCUCAUGGACACACAUGCAUGAUAGUUCUUGGAGCUGAUUGAGCCAUCGCCGUUCACCCGGAGGUUCUUGCCGCCGCCGAGCCGUUACACGAGCCACCGUCAUAAACCUAGCUACCCCAGCCAUGUCUACCAUCUCGGUGAGCACCCUUCAGCCUAUAGAACAUACAUGCAUGCACCCAAUUAACCAAUACAUGAUUGUAGAAGCACAUGCAUCACCACCCGAAAACAUCCUCCUUUCGGACUCGCCGCCGGCGUUACUCCGAUGUCCACUGACCGAGAAAAGUAGAGGAAUGGAAUCGCAAUAGCAUGAUCUUCAUUUUGUCUUUUGGUCGCACCCUCAAACGAGCCAUCGUUUGUCGCCGGUGAGCUCGAGAUUGAGCUCAGCCAUGGCUGUUCUGCCUCUCUGCGUGAGAAAAGAAGUCAGGGACCUUGUUUCGAGAAUUUAAACAACUAUAAGGUUUAAUGUGCAACUUUUCAACUCACUGACAUAUGAGCCUAGGUCUGCGGGUUGAUUCUUAGAAACCUCAGGGAUCUUUUUGUAUAUUGAUCUUUCACUGACAGUGGACCCCUUGGAAACAAAAAUCUGAAAUUAUAAAAGGAAAGUACCUAAAACUUGUAAAAUCCAUAUAAAAUUAAAUAUAGCUCAUUUUAAGAUGAUUCAAAUUUCUGUGAACUCACCAAAUUGGGAGCUUUGAUGUUAUGGAAUAAAAACUUCCACUCACAGUACAAAUUUAGCCUCUAAAAUUUAUCCAAGUUAAAUCACACAUAAAGCACGCACAAAAUUUAUAAAAUGCAUACAGAAUUCAUUUCAACUCAUUUUGGAGCAAACUCAGUUUCUACAGAUCCACCAACUUAUGUUCUCCUAUAAAGCAAAAUGAAAUAGCAUACAUACUAUACAUCAAAUGCCUCUAAAACUAUUACCUUUAAAUGACUAGUUUUAGAUAAGCUGAAUUUUAGAAGUUCAUAUAAAAUUCAUCUUAGAUCUUUUUUUAGUAAACCCAAGUUCUGUAGAAUCACCAAAACAUAUACUUCCAAAUUAUAAAAUAAAAUUAUAUACUUACUGUAUGAUAAAAGCCUCUAAAUACUUAUGUAAGUAAUAACCAUCAUAGAGCAACCUUAAAUUGUAAAAUUUGUAGAAAAUUCAUCUUUAGUCUAAAUGAAGUGAACCAAAUAUCUAUAGAACCAGCAAACAGUGGGCUUCAACAUAGUAAAAUAAAAUAUGGAACCUUCUGUACAGGUUAUAGCUCUAAACUUUAAAUUUAUAGGAUAGGUGCUAAUCACAUAGUAUCGAUUGAGCAAUAUGUAUAUAUAUAAAUGUAUAUAGAAAUACACUCUAGCUAUAAUGAAACUCAAAUAAAACUUGUUAGACCAGUGAAUGCAUAGUUCCAUUCCCAUCCACCAAAACUUAAGGCACUUAGCUCAUAUAAUAAUUUCUAGGUUGAUAUAAUAAAUUGCUAACAUGGACUAGAGCUCCCCUAGUUUAUAAAAUAUGAACCAUGAUAAUAAAGACCAUAAGCCUAUGAACUAAGGUUAGAUUAGUUAACUAAAAUACUCAUUUUAUACAUCACUAGCUAGAUGAGGCAAGUUCUAGACCUAAACCUCUAAAGCCAUGAACCUAUAGAACACUAUACACCUAUAACACGUUAUAACUUGUAAAAUACAUAAAGAAUUCAUAUUAACUCUAAAAAUUAUGAAACCAAAUGUGUUAGUGUUAGAAAACACAUAUCUUCACCCCAGCAAACAUAAACUUAAUAAGAAUUACCUUACAACAGCAUUUCACAACAGUAACUAAGUAAAUCCUACACUAUACCGACGAAACUUCUAAAAUUCAUAACUCCCAAAUAAAAUGAGAUAAAAUAGAAAUUCUUUCACCUAAAUUAAUUUUAGACCAGUACCUAUUCACUGUGCACAAAUCAUCCAUUUUAGAGCAUUUUGGAUUUUUCGCAUAUUUCGGUGUUUAAUUGCAUAACGUGUACUUUGUAUAGAUGAUUGCUUAAACGGUGAAGAAGUGAUUUAGGUGCUGACAUUUUCCUGAUUCAAGGCAAGUCCCACCUCCCUCUCUUUGAUCACUUUGAACCUAUGUUUUGGAGGUUAUUGAAAAUGUUUGCAAAUCCUGCAUGUCGAUUGUGCAUUAACAAAUUAAAAUUGUGUUAAACUUGUUAGACAAACUCCUAUUAUUUGCAUUAUCACCUUAACCCCACAUAUAUCCAUAUCCCUCAUUCCUAACCUUAGGAACAAUAUGACUACACCACUUUAUAUAUGAAUUUUGGAGUCACUAGGUUACUAUAAUGCUUAGCCAUGCUUAGAAUGGUCUUCCUUGUCAUUAUGGGCUCAUUACAAAUAUGAAAAAUUGAUUUUGAAAUAAUCUGGACAGAACUUUAAUACUUGUGAUUUUGAUAAAUAAAAUGAUGGAAAACAUGGAUUUUAGGUUUGGGCCUCAAGUGGUGCACAUAUGGUGAUUAGUUGUGUACCGAUAGGGGGAGAGUGUGCCCAAACCGACCUAAGGACUUCACUCAAUGUCAGUUCAUUUCGUAUACAGUGCAACCACAUGUGCUAGUAUGGGAUAGCCCAAGCUUAGUAAAUUAUUUAUGGUUUAGCCUUACAUUCUGGUAGGCCGGUGUGUAUGAGUUCGUAUAAUUCAGAGGAGUUUCCUAUUUACCCCGAAGUGGUAGUUUAGGUGACUAAGCGUGUCCAAUACAACGGUAUUGUGCCACGUGGUGGGUUCCCGUUGUGUCCGCCACCACGGCGUUAAGUUUAAGGCGUGGGCCCGCCACUUAACGGUUCUAGGUCAUAUAACGUGUAUGGCUUAGGAUGGAGUAACACGUAUCGUGCUGGUGUAAGGCUAAAUCAUGAAUUUUGGAAAAGCUUUGUUGCGGGUAAUCGACUGCUUCUUCUAGGACUUGAACUUAAUGGGGUAAACCCCUAGUCGGUGUGCUUGUGGAUUGGGUAGACAAGCUUCCACUGUUCUAUAUAUUUAUUUGGCCAAUUGGCCAAUGUAACUAAAGUAGAUGUAGUUUAUAAUCGCUUUCAUCUUAUUUGUGUUUGCUAUGUAUAAUCAUGCUUGAGAUGAAAGUGUGAAUCUAGUGCACAUCCUGGGAACUAGAUUCACAUGAGUAUGAGUUAAGAAUAUUUGAGAUGUUGUAGAUCUUUAGCCAUUUUUGUCAAGUCUCCUGAAUGUGUAACACAUCUGGUCACCGCCUUCGAGUGGUUUGACGGGCACAUCUCAGGCUGAAGUUGACUGGCAGGCUAAAGGCCCGGCAAUGUCUCCAAUAUUCCUCUCUCGAGGCGUCGGAUAUUUCAUUAUACUUGUUUGAUGACUUGAAUUAUACAUUUCAUCUCUCAAUUAUAAUGGAAGGUCCGGAGAGCCUACGACACGUUUAACGACCGAUUGUGAUAAAUACCACUGUAGGUUCCUUAAUACAAAUACCACCUAUCCACAAACCAGUUGUUGCUUUUCAAACUAAGGCACAUUCAACGACCGAUCGAGAUAAUUACUACUGUGCUAGUUCCUUAAAGAGUAAAUUUCAUAAUCAUUCAGCUACUUUAAUUGAUCAAAUUAUUUUAAAAAUAUAGAUUUAAAGUGAUGUUUACCAAAAUUACAUAUUUAACACCAAAUUUACUAUGCAACUACGAAUUUAAGGUGGGUAAGCCAAAGCUACAUAUGUAAUAAUAGAGUUAUAUAUAACAAAACUACAGGUUUUAGAGUUUAAAUCUCUAGUGCUACUAUUAUGUCAGAGUCAUAAACGUUGUAGAUUUGUGAUUAAAUGGGUACAUAAACAGUAGUUCCAUGAUAAAUUUAAUGCUAAAUCUGUAGCUUUGUGAUACACCAUCUUAAAUCUGUUGUUUUGUAUUAGUUUGGUGAAAAUAUCCGUUGUUCUGUGAAAUUUACAUAGAAUAAAAAAUAUAGAUGAUUUGCAUUUCACAAACUUGAAUACACACUUGCAUACUGAUUUGGGGAAUGACUGCAGUAAGAAAAAAAAAUUCACACAUAAGCAAGUUGAUGUUUAAGAAAAUUUGAUGGCAAGAACACAUCGAGGAUAAAUCAAUAGAAAACAACACAAAAAAUCUUAAAAACAAUAUCAUACGCAUCUCGGCUCAAAUCCAACCCAACUGUGCUAGCAUGCCUCGCCAUUGCCUUAAACUCCAGACCCAUCAUUGUUGUCAUGACUCGCCUCCUCAGUCUCCCCCUGUCACAACCUUAAGCUAGAUGUGGCCCGUGGAGGAGUUGCCCGGGUUUAGGAAGAUGAGAAGCCACUAUUGCCAAUGUGAGGGCCUGAUCCAGUUGUCCUGGCUUUCUUGCCUGUGUUUUUGUUGUCAUACCUGGUUCUCUGUUAUCGAAAGAGGAGUAUGGAUUGUGUCAGACAAGGAGUAGACGGUGCUGGAGCAAGAGUGGAUGGCAUCGCUUGGAGCCGGCUUUAAUUUACGUGAUGUCUUGAGGUGAUCUCCACAACAGCCGAGAGGGCUGUAAGGUACCAUCAUCAUCAGGGAAUUCGUCAGGAAAGCAGUAAACAUUUCUAGCGAUGAAAAUGGCAACAUCGUCAUGAAGCGGGUUAUGGGUGGCGUCUUCAGGUACCAUCAUGAAAUAAAUGAUCUGCCUCAUACCGUCAUUGGGGGAGAUCGAUCUUGGAGGUCAUUGUGGGAAGCCAUAUAUGAGUGGGGAUGAAAGAGAGAGGGGGAAUGGAGAGAUAUCGAGAGAAUCGGGUGUUAGUGCAGGACUUAACCAGAUCAACGGAUGUGAGGCCAACACUUAAUGUGGUUCUAAAACUAUGACCGCCAUCUCGCAAUUUUUGCCAUUAGUUCACCUUAAGAACCGGUAUUGAAUAUUACUGCCAGUUAUUUUAAUUCGCAGUGAUUUUUGUACUGCCGGUUCCAUUUGGACCAAGAUUGAUAGGCCGGUUGGUGUUUCGGUACUCUGUAUCAGUUAUUAUGUGUUGCGUCUAAGUUUGAAAAUUUGUAAUCCUACGUCUGUGUAAGAAUAUAUACCCCGCUUUACACUACAAAGUUUGUAGCUUGUAGCACCUCUCAAAUACACUAAAGCACUAAACAAAAUAUCAUCCUAGUUAGGCUCCACUACUGCAAAACAUCUGUUAGGUGCCAGUUGCAAACCCGGCAUACAUGCUGAAUUUACAGCCGGCACAUAUCAUCUGGCAGCAAUACCCUAGACUUAUUGGUGCCAGUGGUAGGAAAAAAGAAACGCCAGCUCGAUGCUUUGAUCAGUUUGAACCUGUUUCCCAACAUUGGAUCAAGAAUCCACAUCAACAGAUCAAGAACAUACAGGAUCAACAAUCCCCCAAAUCAACAUAUCAAGAUCAACCCCACACUAAUUAAUCCCCUGAUCUGUAACUUAGAAACUAAAAAAAAUGAAAAGUCUGGACUCCUAUAAGUCGGUAGCUACGAGGGUUUUGUAGUAGUGCUCAAAUACCAUGACAAAAAAGGUUUGGCAAAUAUCCAAGGGUGCCAUGUCGUAGUUAUGUUCUUCGGUGUAUGAGAUUCAUCUCUAGUGAAAAAAAAUAGGUCAUCUCUCAUAUGGUAGCGAUCGGACAAUAAUAAACCUUUUGUUUAGAUAAAAGUUAAAUUAAACUAUGAAAUGUUAUCUACCAGAUGCCACCAUAUAUACAUGUGUUCAUGUAAGAAAGCAAUAUUACUAGAGUGUACUAGUAGUAACGAAAGAUGUUAUAGGAGUUUUACUGCACAUUCGCUAGCCACGCGUAGCAGUACGGUUGUUGGGAGAGAUUAUAUUUGUCACCUAACGUGACUAAGGCAUGUACCUGCAGUAUACUCUCUCCGUCUAAAAAAACAAACCCUGGUUUCCGUGUCCAACGUUUGACCGGCCGUUUUAUUUGAAAAAAUUAUGAAAAAAAUUAAAAAGAUAAGUCACGCAUAAAGUAUUAAUCAUAUUUUAUCAUUUAACAACAAUGAAAAUACUAUUUAUAAAAAAAUUUAUAAGACGGAUAGUCAAACGUUGGCACGGAAAUCCAGUAUUUGAUUUUUUUAAGGACGGAGGGAGUAUGUACGCAGCAACUGUACUUGCACAAUUUCAAUUAUGAGUUGGACUUGAGGGUGGGCUUAUGACGAGAUCAGCUGACGCGAGGCUAAUUAAAGCUUCACGUCGUCACCGGAUCGGCUGGCCGGCUCGCAAUUUUCAAAUUAGGGUGUGUUUAAUUCACACUAAAAUUAAAAGUUUGGUUAAAAUUAAAACGAUGUGACGGAAAAGUUGAAAAUUUACGUGUAUAAGAAAGUUUUGAUUGAUGGAAAAGUUAAAAGUUGAAGAAAAAUUUUGAAACUAAACCAGACCUUAAUACGUGUUGUCCUUGAAUUAUUGCCACUACUAGUAUUUAUUCUGAACGGCAUUGAUACCCGUACGUUCUAGUUCAACUGGAAAUAGUACACGAGUUGGUACUACUACUAAACCAUUUGUAUAGUUCUCAGACAUUUUAGACUGUGUUUAGUUCCAUAUUAAAAUUAGAAAUUUGAAAAAAAUGAAACGAAGUGACGGAAAAGUUGAAAGUUUAUGUGUGUAGAAAAGUUCGAUGUGACAGAAAAGUUGAAAAUUUGAAGAAAAAAAUUGGAAUCUAAACAUGAUCUUAAUUAUUAUAUAUAGGCAGAUAAGAGAUAUACCGAUUUGCCACCAAAGUCCAAAGAGUCUGUAGCCCAAGAGAUUGUAGCAUCGUAUAGAACCUCUCAAAUACAUAAAAAACGAUUGGGAUUAUAACACCUCUCAACAAGAAAAGCCAUUUGUCUGGGGACAUUGUUUCUAGUACUCCACAAGAUCGCGGCUGUGCAAGAGCAAUCACGCGCGCCACCGUGCACGAUGUAACGAGCACAUGUAUGACAGUAUGAGAUGCCUUUGAGCAGUUUCAAUUCAUGUAUCAGCCCAAUUAAUUAUAUGUUUGUCAGAACUCGAUCAGAAACUAAGGUUUCCCAGAAAUACACCCUCCGUUAAAAAAAAGACAACUUCUAAAGAUAAAUCUGGAUAAAUGUUUGUCCAGAUUCAUCUCUAGAAUUUGGUUUUUUAUAAGACGGAUGAAUAGUUUGGCAGGGUAUAUAAAAAGACCUUUAUACCAAGAGAGUACAUGCUGGAUUGAUCCUUUCUAACCCCCAAAAUUAUAUAUAUAAUUAUAUAUGUAUCUGGAAUGUGUGUGUAUAUACAUACACUUCGCGGAUGCUGACAAACAUUGAUAUUUCGACCACAUCAACAUGUAUUAAUUACCUCAUUCCAAAAUAAAUAUAUAUAUAUAUUUUUAGGCGUUAGCACUUAAAUGAGGAUGGAGAGAAAAAAAAUACUCCUUACUAAAAGAAAGUAGCUUUGGAUUACUGUUAAUGGCACUACUGGAUACCACACGCUUUCCUGCGGGAUAUGUAAACGAAUACAUGUUAUACAUUACAGAAAUAAUAUAGGUAUAGUAUAUAUUUAAAUAAUGUAAAAAUGAUGCGAAAAUAAUGAUUUGACAUUGAUUUCAUAUUGAGUUCUAAAAAUAUAACAAAAUUAUAAAUGGUAUAUCAUGUUUGCAUGAUAUUUAAAAUAUUAUACUACCUCCGUCCCAAAAUAAUUGUAUUUCUAGAAUUCAAAAUUUGUCCAAAAUAAUUACAAUUCUAGAGUACUAAUUGCCCCAUCAAUCAUCUCUCAUUCAAUUUUUUCCUAUUUUUCCCUUAACCAUCUUCCCGCUCUCACAUAAACACUAUUUAAUGAGGGACACUAUAGUCUUUCCUCUCAAACCUUAAUACAUGCUAGAAUUACAAUUAUUUUGGAACGGAGGUAGUAGAUAAUAAUUGCUAGUGAGUGAUGAUGUAUCACACUUGCAUAUGGAGUUUUAGGAGUUACUGUACAUAAACUGUAGAUAGUAUAGAUUUAUUGGAUGGAGAAUACGAGGGAACAUAUCUAAUGCACUUUAAUUAGGACAAAUAUUAGCGGAUAGGAAUGAAUUCAUUUUGGGAUAUAUAUGGAGGAAGCAUAUAACUAGCUCCUAUCUCGUUUAAUUUUGAUGGACAAUUAAUAUAAUUAUUCAUACAAUAUAAAUAAAACAUCAGGCUCAUAUCGAUAAAAAAAAAUACUAUCAUGCACAUCGUAUAGGUUGUUAGCUGCUUGGAACCUGUAGACUCUCUAUAUCUACCGCAGCCCGGAGUUAUAUAUGGAUGGUACAGUUAAUAAUGCUUGAUGGUGAUUGCUGAAAACGUGGCAAAAUUGGGCAGACCAUUGAUAACUUUGCUAGCUACGUGCCAGACAGCAACCAGAUCCAAAACAGUGUUAAAAUCUGUACUACUGUAGCAUCAUGCAUGUUUCACGCCCUUUGCUCUCAGCCUAUGCGUGCCAGCUAGCCUCUUUUGCCUUCGAUUCCACAGUGCCACUGAACUGCCACACCUGCACACACCACCACGUAGGCACCCAAUACUUUUACAUCUGUGAGUAUGUCCCUUAAUUUGCUAUUUGUUCAACACAGGUGAUUAAAUGUUAAUUAAUUCGGUACACCUACUAAAUUCAUAGGGAUGCCGCAUAUGUAAAUUAUGAACACCAUAAUUUAAACCAUGUUCUGGAGAGUACUAUCUUCAGUUUUGUUUGGCACAGCUUUAGCUCCUGGAGCUGAAGCUCAUCCAAACAGUUUCAGCUAUACCUAAAAUAGGAGCAGAGCUGGGUGGAGCUCUCUCACAAGAUAAACUAGAGUUGUGGAGCUAGGUCUAGGUAGCUCCACAUCAGGACCGGUCCUAGGGUUUUGGGGCCAUAGGGCAAAAACUUAUAUGGAGGCCCCUAUGUAUACAUGUAAACUAGUAUAUAUAUUUAUAUAGUCUUAUAAAGAGGAAAAAAGAUAGAGAAAUUUACCAAAUAAGAUGAAUUGGACUUGAAGGAGUGUAGGAUCUUGAAAUCAGAUGAAUGAAUGAAUUGGAGGAGUGUAGUGCAGGCAGCGGGCGACAGGGGCAGCGAGUAGUAGCGAGCAGAGAAGGCGACCGGUGGACGAUCAAGACACACGAGCAUGGCUACUGGCGAGCCGCGAUUUGCUGACUUGCCGUAUCCGUUUGCGAGAUGCCGAGAAGUCACCGAGAGCGCAGGAGCAGCGAGCGGCGUGAUGUGAUCGAGAUGGUGCAACGCGAGUGGCGUGUGUGAUGUGAUCGAGACGAAGCGACGGGAGUCAGAGGAAGAUCGCUUCGUCUUCGCUGAAACAAGCCUGGCGAUGGACUAAAAUUCAUUUUCUAUAUUGGGCUAUUCAGCUGUCUAACUUAUAUAGGCCCAUGGCCCAUGGACUAAAAUUAUAUAAUACGUAGUAUAUAUACUAUAUGUGUAUAGGGGCCCCUAGAUUUUGGGGGGCUCGGGUGGCGGCACGGCCUGACCCCCCCCAGGACCGGCCAGUCCACAUCUCCACUCCAGACCCAACUCAUGUAACUAAAUUUAGACGUUGGAGCUCUACCAAACAGGCCACCCUUACACCUAUAUUGUUUCAUGAAUCUCAUCAUAGAAAACCCAAUCCAAAUCAAAUGUGACACCCCAAGUAUUAUUCGACAUUUCUGGCAUCCAAUAUCUCUCCAUUUGACCUAAGAAGGCCAUGGUAGCUGGUGGCACGUGGUAUAGACUUCGGCAAAACAUAGUAAGUGCUCCGCGACCAAUUCAUUAUGGAAUACACAAAAAGUAGAUGGACGCACUCCUUUUUCUUUCACCUGUGUUCAUAACCACUCUCUACUUAGAAGCCAUUAUCGAUCGAAAAUACAUAAAAUUCACCGCUGACCCGUGAAACAUGAGGAUAUGUUUUGUGUACAGAUGACAUGAAUCUUUUCGGGGAUAUGAGCAGUUCUCACAGUAUUUGUAAACUAUAACCUACCUCCAUGGUUGUGCUUAAAGUGGAAAUACGUUAUGUUGCGAUUGUUAAUCCACGGACCGAAACAACCCGUCUCAAUGAUAAUGAUGUAUUGUUAGAGCCGGUUAUCGAUGAUCUAGAAAUACUCUGGUAAGAACUUUAAUCUCCGCGUCCUAUUGUUUUGCACCAUUAAUGACUAUUCCAUCCUUGGUAAUCUUUCGAGACAAACUGUGAAAGGAAAAAAAGGUUUGCUCAGGCUGAAAAAAUCGCAAAAUAUAUUUUACAUGGGUCAUAGGAGUUAGUUGGCUCCGGUUACGUCACUCGUACAGAAAAAAGAAGAAACUUUUUCAACGGUAAGAAAGAGCUUCAACAUGCUCCAGUGGAUUUAACCAUAGAUGAGGUGCAUGACAUGAUUAAUAUAUAAGUAAUGAGUUUAGGAAGAAAAUGAAAUGUCCUAAGGAAAAUGAGAAGGGUUUGUGGAAGAAAAUCCCUAUAUAUUGGCAACUACCUUAUUGGAAAGAUAUCGACGUCCGUCAUUACAUUGAUCUCAUGUAUACUUCUUCUAUGUAUUAUCUUGUAGUACUAUCAAAAAAUCAAUGUUUUGAAUACACAAUUAUCUAGUACAAUAUUUUUGGAGAAACUAUACAUACUACAAUAUACAAAGGAAAGUUGUUGGUAUGAGCUAUAGCCCACCUCAUCUAGCACCCUCUUGCCUAGCUAAGCAAGCUGGAUUAAGAAACCAAACUCAGAUCUUCAGUUUUUUAACAACUGGGAUCCUCAGAAUCCUCCAUUUUUCGUGUCGUAAUUAACAUAAAGCCGACACAUGUUGAUUUGUUCUCUCUCACUAUGCAAAUAUAUAUACAUAGAGGUGCAUCAUUCUACUUACACUACUUAUCAGAGGGAAUGCUGGGGUGGAUUGUUGGAUCAGAAGUCAUUACACAAAUUAAUCAAUCGAGCAACCAUUUGUAGGCUGUAGAAUGAAAGAUUGUGGUGAAUUGGCCUACAGGUCAUAGAGAUUUUAAUCCUAUUGACAACCCACUCUCUCAAACAGUAGUAACAACUAGUGUUGAAUUGGUGUCAUGUUACGCAUGUUGGACAUAAUUUGCAUAAAAGUUAUUGAAGGGUUGUGUUUGAUGAAGACAUGGAAGCCAUUGGUGACCAUGUUUGCAUCAAAAGGUUACAGUUCUGGUAGUAAAACACCAGUACAGAUGGUCAUAAGGCUUGAGGCCCGAUAGUUGGGCCGUGCCUGGGCCGAUGCCUUGGCACGGUGGGCUGGCCCGACACGGCACAAUCAAAGAAAAAGUUGAGGAAUCCAAAAUAGACUUAACUCAGCCAUACAAGACAUGGCCCAUAGAGAAGAAGGAUACACGAUAGACUUAUUCCAACCAUAUAAAACAUAGCCCAAAGAGAUGAGGGAGGAAAAUAGACUUAUUCUACGAAGAAGCACAAUGUGUUGUCAUGCCUUCAGGCAGCCUAGCACGGCUUGAGUCUUAAUGGGCCGUGCCUGGGCCGUGGAUGCAGCCUGUGGGUAGGCACGGCCCAGCCCAGCGUGUAGAUCGGGCCGUGCCGGCCCAACUGAACUCAUCACAAGCCCGGUCAUGCCCGGACCGGGUGACCCAUUUGACCAUCUAUAAAAACCAGUGGUAGGUGGUGCGAUGAGGGUGGCGUUGGCCCUCCGGUCUCCACUUGUACUUCCCUGCCACGGAUGUCACCCUUCGAACUCCCUCAAGCACCUCUAUCAGCACUGGCUUAACCUUUAUUGGGAACUAGGAAACAUCUAUGUUUGUCACCUCACACACGAGCUAGGUUCCUUUAGUUUAAUGGCGCUAGUGAGUCGGGGGCAUGUCGGUUGAGGUCAACUAUGUGCACUCUGAUCAAUGCACAUAUAUGUCUAAUUAAAAAAUACGUAAGGUUUCCGUGACUAUUUUUGUCCGUCGUCGUCAUCAUCCGUGUACGUGAUGGAAAACUCUAGUGAAACGGACUCUGAGAUGAGAAACUCUAGGGUUUUGCUUAUUUAGGAUAGGGCUCGAUUCCGUGCACGAUACGAUGCAGUUUUGCUCCGAUUCAUGGGAAAACGGAGAGAGGAUGAGAUAAGAAUCGAAACUCCUCAAUCAAUUUUGUACUAUCUCCAAGGAUGCUACCGGAUUUCACGGAGAAGACGAUUUCAGACAGCGUCUGCAAGCUGCGGGAGUCUAGCCGGAGGUAGAUGACGACCGUGCGUGUAGCGCGGGUACCCACGCGACAGUGAGAGGAGUAACUGAGGGAGCACUAUUAGACUUGUGGAUGCCUGAUGGGCUUGAUGCGCUUGCAGGCCGGAGGCGAAGGGGAGGAGAAGGGGAGAAAAUGGGUCGGCUCGGCUGCGUGUUGAGGG
rnacentral:lncRNA from 1 species